rnacentral:lncRNA from 1 species
AAAGCUUAUUAGUUGUCAUAGUUUCUGUUUUGUGGGUUUCAAAUUACCAAUUUGGCCUUGCCAGUACCAUCAUGUGAAAGCUGUAUGUCCCUCAUACAUAUGGUCCUGUCCUAGGGAUCAGAGAACUUGCACUCCCAGCAAUGAGUUUGAGGAAUAAAUGCUUAAUUAUAACUUAAGAGGAUGAAGGUUAUUAGAAGCAUUAAUU